rnacentral:rRNA from 2 species
UAGACCUCAAAUCAGAUAGGA